rnacentral:lncRNA from 1 species
UCGUCCCUGGCAAUCUAGGUAGGUGACCGCCGCCGGCGCGCUAUAAGUGAUCAUUUGUUGAGGUGCUGAUGCGUGAAGAAGGAUCGGUCAGUCAGGGGCUUAAUGUUGCUCUGAUGUGUCUGUGUGGCACGUAUUGUUGGAUUCUACAAGGACUUUGUCAAAGCCCUCUACGAAGACCUCGGUGGGCAGGCAUCUGUUACGGGUAAGCUUGCUUGAUUGAAGCGUAUUUUUGUCGAUGUAUUGUCGUUGCUGCUUGCUGAUGAACAUUGUGCCUUGUGCAUUGUUCAGCGAUAGGGCGUAUUUCACAUGGGCAGAAGGUAAUGCACAUAUUUCUUCAGGUUGAUUCAUAUCGUCAUGUUGAAAUCGACAAGGGACGGUUACAUCAAUCAUUUAUAUUUAUGGAAGACAGUUCACUGAUAACUAGCUUGGAUCAUACCUCCAGAACGGUAUGGCCUGAUUCCUCUCUCUCGCCUAGCUCGGAUCUUUUCCUUGUCUUCUUUGAGUUGGAUUCCCGAUUCCCGAUCCGUCCAUGCGAAUUGCGAUCUUGAUUGGCCGAUUAGAGAUUUAGUUAGGGAUAAUAAGACUGCACCGUGCUCAGCUCUUCCUUCUCGAGUUGGAAUCUCAGGAGGGAAGCUCUUAACCUAGGCCUGCUCUCUGGGAAUCGUUGGGAACAGGUUUGAUGAGCAACCAAACGAGCAGUGUUAAUCUCCGCAGUGCUGGUAAGUUCGUUAUAUUUCCCACAACCCACAUGUCAUCGCAAAUCUGUAGCAUCAGCCUGACCCCCCUGGACUAUAAUCCUCAUUCCUCCACUCCCACCUUACGUUUUCAGCUAUGUGUCAUGUGUUCCAAAUGGCGGGCAAAAAGUUAACAUGAAGCAUACUACUCGGUACUGUAUGAAAUAAGAGCGGAUUUCUUUUAGAUACAGAAUGAAGUUUUAGUUAAGAGGCCAAACUGAAAAUAGAAAGCACUAUAUAUACGAACUAUGUGGCCAUUAUAGCUACAUUAUAUCAGGGUUGAUGACAAACAAAUUCAGGGUUGGAUAUUCUGGAACUAUGUUGUCAUCAACUAUCUAGCACUAUAAGGACUAUGUGAAUUUUCAAUUUUGCCAUAUUCUGGAAGAUUCUAGUUAUAAUGUGCUAAAUAACGCAUGAUAAAUAAGACGUUAUACAAUGGAAAGCCACAUAAUCUAGAAAUGCAAACUAUGUGGCCAUGCAAGAUUCUGUUUGUCUUGAAUUAUGUGGAUAGGAUAAUAUAUGUAGGUCCGGUCUCUCUUCUAUCUCUCUUCUGCUUCCACAUAACCCUCCGUGCGGUUCGGUUGCAGCCUGCAGGUCCGGUCUCUCUUCUGUCCAGAGUUGAUUAGCACCUAGUACACGGUAGCUAGUAUGGAUAGGAUAUAUAUGUAGCUGCAGAUCAGAGAGGAGCUUCUUCAUUUAUCUUGUACAGUAGUACUAGGUAGUUGGUCUGAUUGCUAGCUAGUUGGUCUGAUUGCUAGCUAGCUGGACUGGAUUAUAUUAUGUACUCCCUGUGUAAACUAAUAUAAGAGUGUUUAGAUUACUAAAAUAAUGUUCUAAAUGCUAUUAUAUUAGUUUACAGAGGAAGUACGUAGCUUAAUUAGCUUGUGCAGUUAAUUUGUUGCACGCAUACAUGCAUGCAUGCAUCAUGUUUGUUGGUGGAGAACUGAAAUCGCAUUGCAUAAUAUGCAUCGUUAAUUGACUUUGAUAGUUAAUUUGUUGCUACUCCAUGGUAGAAUAGUUUGCAUUGCGCAGUGUAGGAUUCUGCUAGAGGCGAGAUGAUCGACUCCGCAUACACAUGCAUCUGUUAUGCGCGCACAACUUCCUCUCACAAAAAAAACUAAGUGCAUGUCUCUUUCACUUUUGUUUGCAUUUCUUUUAACAUCAUCUUGAGGAUGAACACAAAUCUUUUUAUUUCUAAUAUUGUUUAUAUUUAUUUCCUAUCUUUUUUAUUUCUAAUAUUUUUUAUAUUUAUUUCAUUUUGAUUGAUUCAUGUGCAGUGUAAUGUUUUUGUAGGGUGACAAGUUGUCGCAUCUCGAGCAUGUUUCAUAGGAGAGUGGAAUGAAGUUCAUUGUACUGUUCGGAUAGUAGCAGAUGUGCCAUUGUUCUAUUGUGCAAUUCUGUCUGUUCUUGCUAUAUUUCAGUGUAAAGAAAUGUAUUCAUGAGAUGAGUUAUUGUGUUAUGUAAACAUGAAAGAUGUAUUAUGUGAUGUUAUAUGAUGGAUGGUUUCAAUUUGACUUGAAGUUUUCUUGAUUUGAAUAUGAAAUAGUGUUGGAUUUAAUAUUGGACAAAUAAUUGGGUUGAAAAGGCCCAACACAUAGAAAUAAAAC